rnacentral:rRNA from 1 species
CUGCUAUCGGAUUGAUACUAAGCCAUGCGAGUCUUUGUAGUAAUACAAGGCAGACGGCUCAGUAACACGUAGUCAACCUACCCUAUGGACAAGAAUAAUCUCGGGAAACUGGGCAUAAUUCUUGAUAGAUCAUAAUGCCUGGAAUGGUUUAUGGUUAAAAUGAUUCGUCGCCAUAGGAUGGGACUGCGGCCUAUCAGCUUGUUGGUGAGGUAAUGGCCCACCAAGGCGAUUACAGGUACGGGCUCUGAGAGGAGAAGCCCGGAGAUGGGUACUGAGACACGGACCCAGGCCCUAUGGGGCGCAGCAGGCGAGAAAACUUUGCAAUGUGCGAAAGCACGACAAGGUUAAUCCGAGUGAUUUCUGCUAAAGAAAUCUUUUGCCAGUCAUAAAACCACUGGUGAAUAAGGGGUGGGCAAGUUCUGGUGUCAGCCGCCGCGGUAAAACCAGCACCUCAAGUGGUCAGGAUGAUUAUUGGGCCUAAAGCAUCCGUAGCCGGCUUUGUAAGUUUUCGGUUAAAUCCAUGUGCUCAACGCAUGGGCUGCCGAAAAUACUGCAUGGCUAGGGAGUGGGAGAGGUAGACGGUACUCAGUAGGAAGGGGUAAAAUCCUUUGAUCUAUUGAUGACCACCUGUGGCGAAGGCGGUCUACCAGAACACGUUCGACGGUGAGGGAUGAAAGCUGGGGGAGCAAACCGGAUUAGAUACCCGGGUAGUCCCAGCUGUAAACGAUGCAGACUCGAUGAUGCAUUGGCAUAAUAGCCAGUGCAGUGUCGCAGGGAAGCCGUUAAGUCUGCCGCCUGGGAAGUACGUACGCAAGUAUGAAACUUAAAGGAAUUGGCGGGGAGCACCACAAGGGUGAAGCCUGCGGUUCA